rnacentral:ncRNA from 1 species
CAAAGGCCUGGUCCUGGCUUUACUGUCAACUGUAGCUAAAUUUACACAUGCAAGUAUCCGCCCCCCCGUGAAAAUGCCCUUCGUUCUCUGCCUGAGAACAAGGAGCUGGUAUCAGGCACAAUAUAUUGGCCCAAGACGCCUUGCUCAGCCACACCCCCAAGGGAACACAGCAGCGAUAAACAUUAAGCAAUAAGUGAAAACUUGACUUAGUUAAAGCUAAGAGAGUCGGUAAAACUCGUGCCAGCCACCGCGGUUAUACGAGAGACCCAAGUUGACAGUCCAACGGCGUAAAGAGUGGUUAAGAAAAACUCAAACUAAAGCCGAACGCUUUCUAAGCUGUUAUACGCACUCGAAAGUAAGAAGCUCAACUACGAAAGUGGCUUUAUAUUCUCUGACCCCACGAAAGCUAAGAAACAAACUGGGAUUAGAUACCCCACUAUGCUUAGCCCUAAACAUUAAUAGCACUCCACACAAGCUAUUCGCCCGGGAACUACGAGCAUAAGCUUAAAACCCAAAGGACUUGGCGGUGCUUAAGAUCCACCUAGAGGAGCCUGUUCUAGAACCGAUAACCCCCGUUCAACCUCACCCUCCCUUGAUCCUUCCGCCUAUAUACCACCGUCGUCAGCUUACCCUGUGAAGGAAGAAUAGUAAGCAAAACUGGCACAGCCCAAAACGUCAGGUCGAGGUGUAGCGCAUGAGAGGGGAAGAAAUGGGCUACAUUCAUUAUACUAGUGAAUACGAACGAUGCCCUGAAACGGGCAUCUAAAGGAGGAUUUAGCAGUAAGCAGAGAAUAGAGUGCUCCGCUGAAACCGGCUCUAAAGCGCGCACACACCGCCCGUCACUCUCCCCGUCUAAUUCUUUUCCUUUACUAAAAACACCAACAAUCUCCAAGGGGAGGCAAGUCGUAACAUGGUAAGUGUACCGGAAGGUGCACUUGGUUAAAU